UAAGAGCAUCGUCGCCGACAUCAUCAUCGGUCGUCGGAGGCAUCGAUAUCGAAGCUUACGACGACGAGUCCGUCGCUGCUGCUGCCUUACCUGUCGGAGCCCCGAGGCUGUCUCUGCCGCCUCUGCCUCUGCCGCUGGCACUGCCGCUGGCACUGGCGUUGCCGACGCUAAAUGGAAACGCUUUGACGCGUUAUAAUAACAAGUGUUUGCCGUCUUUGGACAUUCAGUGUGCGAUAUCCCGGCGGUGCAGACUACUACGUUCGCCGCACACGGACAAAGCUUAUAUAGAGAAAAAUCCGAAAAAACACCCAAAAACCCAAGCCCCAAGCAAGAACUUUACGCGGAGAACAACACUCCUCCUCCAACACUCCUGAAACAAAAAGUGCAGCAAGAAACAGACACCUUUCAAAGCCCUGAAACCCUUUUGCAACCCUUUGUGUUUUUUUUAAUGGUUGUUGUUGGUGAUAAAUCAAACAAAAAUAUCGUAAUAUAACUAAGUUAUAGUCAAAAUAUCGCGUCAAAAGUCUCGAUUUGCGCGCGCGCGCGUCCUGUACAAAAGUUACCUGAAAAGUUAAAAGAAAACUCAAACCCAAACCCAAACCCAAACCAGGGUAAAGGAAACCCGAAACCCUAUCCAGUGAAUCCAAACAAUCCGAAUAGUUGAUGAAGUGAGCACAGAACCAUAUCAACGGUCCGGUGACUAAGCUCAGCCACAGCCACAGCCUCAGUUCUUCUACCUCUACCUCUCUCCCCCUAGAACAUCAUCCCACCCCACAGCCACGCACACAUCGCCCUCCCCCCCACCCCACACACACACACACACACACACACA